UUUUGCUCUUCACUGUAUCAUCAGUGUUUAUUAGAUCACAUGUUUCAUUAGGGGCCUCAAAAUACAUG
ensembl:misc_RNA